AGCCCUGUAGUCUAGCGGUCAAGGACAAUCGGCUCUGGACCGGUUAACCCAGGUUCGAAUCCUGGCAGGGCUA
rnacentral:tRNA from 1 species